CGUGACUCAGUCAAAGUGCGUUUGCUUCUGUCUAUGCACAAUUGAUCGUUAGAUUGUUGCUAAGCUUUUUAGUUGGUUGACCUGGCCGGUUGUUGCCUAAGCUGGCGCAAACAUACGCCUCUGUUAUUCUCCCCGUUAAUGUCGUCAAGCAAUCGGCUCACGUCGGCCGACCGACCCACCGCCAUUGCGCAGACGGACGCGGGGGAGCGGUGGCUGAGGAACUCGUCGGGGUGAACAGCGCGAAAACAAAGCCGCAAUUCAGCCAAUAGUCUGGUAUAGUUAUGGGGAAUAAACUGUUUGCGAAAGUUGCUUAGAAUAUUAAGCAAAGUUAAAUAGCUAGCUAGGUUGUUAGACGUCACCAAGUAAGUAACGAUAUAUGCCGAAUGAAAAGUGAGUGAGUGCCAGUUAAGUUGGCCGUUACUGACUAGCGGGAACUUAACACCGAAUUUGAAGUUAACGAAGGCUGAGUACUUUAUCUUGGUCACACCUCUUUCGGACUACGCUGUCAAUAGACUGAACGACGAGAAAUCGCUACGGGUGUAUUGCUCCCGAUGUUACGAAUUGCUUCUGUUAGGACUGUUAGGACAACGAGGGCAUUUUCAUCGAAGCGUUAGGAUUAUUUGGUUUGUGCAAUACACUUUUCGGCCCUAGCCCUGUAUGUAGACGUGGUAUUAAUUCUGUUUUCGCCGGUUCUUUAUUGGAUUCUUAACGAAUACAAGCGGAGAGCAGGUGUCAAUUUGGAAGAAUCUCACCGAUUCGAUGGAUUUUGUGCCCGGAAGUCGGUGUCUUCGACCGAACCAGUUUCACUAGCAGUUCAGCGGUGGCGCGCGAAAAACCUAACAGGGACUCAGCGAAACGCAAUUGACUUACAUUCACUUUUUUUGACACGUAUACAAACACUUGAAGCAUGCACAGCUGUAACUUCCUAGGUCGGGGGGCAGAUCGAUAGAUGAAUGGAGCAGAUUCAGACGGAAGCCGAUUGUGGAAGCAUGAUUGGUAACCGCAAACGUUCGAACGAAGGUAAAUCUGUCGCGGUAGUCAAACAGCUUGUCUCUCCCUCGCUCUCAUCAUCUAUAAUACGGUGGAUAAAAGACAGUAUGGCAUACCUAUGAGCACGACUUUGGAUGUCGCUGACCGCAGCGUCUUUUGAUAGCUGCGUAACGAAAAUUUGUCGGCUCGCUCCUUCGUCCAUGAACGUUGACAAACGUCACGGCCGCGGCGGGAGGCGCGGAUACGCCGCAAGAUGUACCCGUUGCACCUCAGCGCGGUAAUGGGUGUUCGGGAUCGCGCAGGUCUUGAAGAGAGGAUGUCCUGCAUCACUAUGGCGCUUCUGUAGCUACAGCAGAUCGCCCAUGCGCUGCCCUGCUGAUCCUGCUGCCUGGACGCAUGGACGUAUCCACGCAUUGUGAACACAAUAAAAACAAGUACAAUAACUAUACUUGCACUCGUCAUCUCACAUAAAUUGUACUGGCAGACAUAUACGCAAAUUUUGACUUAGGUCUACGCAUAUGAUACGUGUACGAAACGUGAUUACGUACAACAGCAGGACGAUGCAUGUAAAUACUCAUUGUAGACCCGCUGCGGCCGCGCAUAUUUGACCGCGUGGCUCUGUUACGCAUAGUGAUUGUGUGCACAUUGAUUUCCCAUGUCAAACCCACUUUGUAUUAUUGUAGCUGGCAUUUGGCGUAUGUGGGGGCCAAAGCAGACGAUUUUUUUGCAUUUAUCUGAUCGCAAUCGCUUGAGCAACAUGUGCCCUGGAAAUUGCCUGUCGUAGGAACGGAUCGUUGUGGAGAGCCUAUAUCGAACGCCAUAGCGGCCGGAAGUCAGCAAACAGAUGUCAAAAGACAGAUCCCGAUACGUGAACACUCUGCACAAUGUACUCGUUAUGAUUGCCAUCCGUCAAAGUGUCCCAGAGUCAAUACACAGACGCAUACACACACAGUAAAUAUACAAUCAUUACUGUUACAGCUUUGAUUUGAUCGAACGCUAUCGGAUGGCACGGGACGUGGCUCAUGUCCUGCACCACGCAAUAUCAGGUCCGGUGAAAAAUCAUAAUUUUCUAAUAUUCAUUAAUAAUAGUAAUAAUAAAUUUGCAUUAAUUAGCGAACAGUCGCUACAAAUAUCGAACAAGCAUAACGCUAACAGUAUAUGCUAUUGUGUUCGAACAAUCACGACCCGGGUUGAGGGUUUCACUUCCAGCGUAAUUUACUCAGCAAUUCUUAGAAAUCUUACUCUUUUUCUAAUAAUUACUAAAUUAUUAUAGCGCCUCUAAUCAUCUAACCAUCAAUCCAAGCAUAACAAAAGAGUUGAAAGGUAUCACUAAAUGUAUAGAGGUAAAACUGUCUGAGUUGUACUGCGCAACGUCGUAGUUCUUCUUUGUCGUCGAGCGUCUUUACCGUACCGUUAGCAGGUAGGAUCGACUUCUAACGACACGUUUCUAGCGACACGAAGAACAUAAACAUGGCAACAACGUAUUUAUAACGCUCAGAGACGUUGUGACGGUUGUGGCACACGGUAUCAGAGUGAUGCGUGUCAUCAGCGACCCUUCAUCUUAGAUACACGUAAAAGAAAUGACUGGAGUUUAAUUAAGAUAUUUCAUAUACAUGUUAGAUAAAUGAAUCUUUUAUAAUCAGUUACUACUAGAAUUUAACAGGUGUCAUAAUGAUCAAUUCGCCUCGGUGGAAGAUUCUGUGUUAGGCAAAAUGAUGACUUCGUGAGAAGCCAACCUUUGGAAUACUGAUAGAAAGUUCAUGUUGGCUUAAUCACGGAUCGGUGACUUUUGCACUAUUCUGCUUCUCGAUACACACUGCGUAUUUGCUAUAUUUUAUAUAUAUAUUUAUAUUUAUAUAUAUAUAUAUAGCACCAGAGCGAAAUGUAUUUAUCUCGUAAAUGUCAUAUAAUGUAAAAGAAAGGAAAAAAAAAUGUCGAUUAUUCGGUUAGCUAGAUAAGGUCUAUGUCCUGUUCAAAGUAAAACUACAAUAGACAACCUGGUCAUCAUAUUGAAGGGCCAUCUAAUAUAAAAACCGAUCGUUUCUUAGUGGCUUUAUCCGCGUGUGUAAGUUCUUAAUUAUGCGCGUAGACGAUCUUGGCACAGACAUUAUCAUCUCUUACCCAUCUGGCAAAUUGAACCUUUUUCUUUUUUUCUAUAAUAUCAAAUCGAGAUAUAUACUAUAUGUAUUCUAUUGUAUUUGCGAAAACAAAUCCUUCUGUCUAGUAUUUCACUUUAAUGCUUAAGUGAUUUCAGGGUUCUACCUUUGUGUCAUAGUUCGCGAUAUUCAUUCCCCUUCAAUCUCACAUGGACGCCAUGGACCGUAAGGAUCCAACACUGCGUGACUGCGGACGAACGUGUUUGACAUCAGACGGUUAGAACGAUAACAGAAAUUGAAGUGUUCUGGUCCCGAUGGCCCGGCAAGCGGUAGACAAGGUGAUCUUGUACUAACGAUUUGACCGUCUUUCAAGCGUUAAUCAUUAUCGCAGACGGUGAUAUUCAAUGUAAUCUGCCUGUCAACACGGAGCAUGCGAACAGGAAACACUGCAAAUUUACACGACAUUGACGAUACUACACGUGAUCGGAAAAAGGACGCAUCACGUCCGAGUCUUCGUCACUGCUGGAUUUUCAGUGCCGUCACAUCGACGAUCCGUACACACGUUGCGCAUAGUGGGUGGCAAGGCUAGAGCAACGUGGAUUUGGAUUUUUCAUCAUCAUAUUGUGUUAUGACUAGUGUUUAUUCGACUUCCAGGUCCAAGAUUAUUGGCUUACAUGAUAGCGUUCUAGUAAACCCCCAUAAGGCAGCACCCCAGGGCUACUGCUGUGAAAGUCCCUAAGCUAUUAUAGACGGCUAUAGUUUCCAGUGGCAUUUCACAUCUGUCACGGUGAGUUUGGCUGUGUAUGUCGCAGAUACCAAAUGUUGACAACAGAAAAGAUCGAAGAAACUGAAUCAGUCGUAUUCUGUUACUAUCUGGUCGUAUUCAACCGUUACAAUCGUACGGCCUGCUUCUCGUACACGAGGGUGCCACGGCUGCGGCGGCCUAGUUAUGUUCGAAUGUCAGCCCCCCAACGGCCGGUCCAAUACCGGUAACAUUGAUCACUACACACACGCUUCGAGGUGAUAGGCCGCCGCAAAUAGUCACCAAGCUUAGCAAAAAAAUUUAGAAACGUCACUAUGAUCAUCAGACACUUCACAACGUCUCUGUAUUUUCGAUGGCUACCUAUUUCAUCCCAUCUUAUAAAUUAGAGGUAAUAAGGACCCUUACCAAACUGUAAAAGGUAUUAACAGCAUUCAUAACUUCCUAAAACAAAAACUAUCGCUCCCGGAUACGAUUUGCUCGUAGCUACGUUAACGAAUAACACGAUCUUCGUUUUGCGAUGUUAACUUGGGGCGAUUGCGAUAACGCCGACCGCUGUACAGCCAGGCUGAACAAGAGAGACCCCGUUUCGAUCUGAUCCAAUGAAAGUUGAUUUUUUUUUUUUCAUCGUGUAAUUUAUGCGAGAGAAGGCUUUUUAUCACGACAAACAGUUCCGUAUCGGAACUGUUUAAGUUAUAUAUUAUACUCAUGUUAAAGUCUUGGAAAGGAUAAACGACUCAAGAUUCAAUUCUCUGAGUCUGAGAUAAUAGGAUCAUUAUGAUGCUACCAGGUUCACAGUGGAAUGUAACUGCUCCGAACGGAUGCCUCGUUUCCUGGAUGCCAUCCUCCCUCUGUGUUUGCAAACCACAUGACCAUACGAAACCACGGAAAUAUAAAGCAGUUGAAAGACGAGCAAAGAGCUUGCUCGAAGCGGCUUCAUUACAUAAAAAUAAUCUCAAAAAUCAAAAAUGCAGAGAAGCAGAAAAAUGCGGCUGUUGCUGUUGUUGCCGUUAUUGCCGAUCACGGUGAACCGUCAACAGAAAGGAGCGUCAGAGGAGCACCAUUUUUAAACUUCAUUAUGACUACGCACGCUGAAGCUCGACGUCGUAUUAUUGCUUACUGUUUAUUGUUGCAUCAGGUUGAUCAAAAGAAUUUUGCUUGUAGAAAUCGUUGU
rnacentral:lncRNA from 1 species